CACCUACUGCUUCUUCUUCUGGUUCUGGUUUCACCGUUUCAUCUACAUCAUUUGACAGCCUGUCAAAAGAUAGGAAGAAUUGUGUUCAGAUGCUCAAUCAAUUCUAUGGAGUAAAAGCAGCUCAGCAAGUUGAAUAGAAACCUACAAAUGUGGAUACCAAAUUUUUGUCUCCUAUCACUUCAGUCCACUCAAAGGGCCCAGGGCCCGGGUACCUUUCAAGCUGUCCAAAGUGAGCCCACAAACUGUGUAUGAUCAACACACUUCCAGAAACUUUAUAACUAUGGGAUCAAAAGCAGAGGGAGAGGUUGGGUGUCAGUGACUGGUACUAACCUGACAGCAACACUUACUACUGGAUGUUACAAAACAAAUAGGAGUCUUAAUUAGGGUAGUUGUCUCUUCUCCUGGUCACUGUCUAUAUGUCUUGCUGACACUUUGCAUGUCAUCUUACUCCUACUGGAAUCUGCAUUUGACGUAUGCUGAAGGGUACAGCACUCCUAUAUUUAUCCCUGAAUUGAGUGCCCUUGUUACAACAUACUACCUUGUGUAUUUUAUUAUUAUAUCACAAUGCAACUGUAACUGAAAAAAUGUGCUUGCUCAUAUAAAGCAGUAUAAAAGACUGCAGUUUGUGGUGCAGAAUUCACAGGGAAUCUAUUGCUCGUUAGGCAGAAUAUUUUAACUGAAUGUUUUAUUUUUUUUUCUCUGUGAAGAAGGUUCUCUUUUCUUGUCAGACUGUUAGAGAAUGACUGACUGUUAAAAACUGUUAUCGCUGUCCUCAGCAAUUGUCAUGGUUCUCUAUAGCCUCAUUCUCAUUAGGACCUCUGUUAUUUAGCCACACCACAAUCUGACCCCUCUUCACGUUGUCCUCUUUCCAGAGGGGAAUCCGUCUUGGCUAUUGGGCUUCAUACUGCCCCAUGAACAAACAGCAGAGUGGGAGUGCAGGGGCUAUCACAGUGUGGCCAACUAGUAUGUUGAGGAGAAAACUUCCCAGAUGUACUAGGGAUUAGGCACACAGAUGAGUGCACAAGAAGAUGUUGUGAAGAAGCUGUAUCUGCCUCUGAUGGUUAUGUGACUUAAAGCUCUGCCAAACUAUAAGUGGCUCGUGCUUUCUGGCUCCUGGUCUUCACCAGUGGUCAACAGUGGAUACCCCCCCAACAUGUGUGGCCCCUCCAUCCCAACACAACAUAUGAGCAGGCACUGGGUCAUUUUCAUCCACAAACACACAGGCUGCUAGCUGAAUUUGGGUUGCUUGAGUCAUAGUCGAGGCUUCAUCUCCCUAAAUCACAGAGCCAACAUGUACUUUACAUUCAAGUACUUUGGGAAACCAACACUUUAAACUAUUUAGUAACCAUUCAGGAUUUA